rnacentral:sRNA from 1 species
UUUUUUUUUUUUUUGCUUUCUAAUUCUGUAUUUUUGGUAAAGUUUAUAAUUGUUGAUCUUUUCAUUUUCUCAAUGACUGCAAGUUAAUUAGUUGGCUCUUUGUAAACAUUUUAUGUCAGUUGUGAUACAGAUUUAAUCAAUUCAAAAUGCAAAGGGUUUACACAUGAGUGAUUUGAAUCUGUAAAGUGUGAUAAUUUAGACCUUUUUGUAAUAACUCGAAACUCUCUCUUUUUUAAAACUCCUAUGAAUGUGGAAUGACCUAGCUGAUGCAUGAAUCAGUAAAGACUUCCAUAUCCCGUAUGAAGUUAAUAAUCACUAGAUGAGUACCCGCACUACGUGCGGGUUUAUGUAUUACUAUUUACAAAUUGUUUUAUAUAAUGUAUGUUCAUAUAAAGUAAAGUUGAAUGCAUCUGUUUUGAAACAUAAAUAUGAUUUGUAAUUGUUUUCAAAAAGUCCAACUAUAUUAGUUCAUCUGAAAACGAAAGUGCUUGAAUUGUUUUUUAUUGUUGUUCUAGAUUCUCAGUUUUUUUUUUUUAUUUAUAUAUCCUUGUUCUUUUGGUUAUAUAUUUAGUUUGUGAGACGGUGAAACUUUAGAAAAUUUAUUUCUUACAUUAAAAAUAUAACAUGUCUUUAUUAACCAUGUCUCUACAUAUCCAAUAUAAUUAUAUUCAACUUGAUGUUCUUGGAAAGUUUAGUUAAGUUCUUCUCAUAAUCUGUAUUAGUUAUAAGGAUACCUCCUUAAACAUCUUUCAAAUUACUUGUUUUCUUAGCAUAAAUCUCGAAAAGCUUAAAUAUAUUUAAUUUGCAUAUUCAUUUAGUUUCUUUCAUAAUAAUCGUCUAAUUUUUAGGCAAGGAAUCUAUAUAUACAUUUUUGCAGCCAUUUUGUGAAAUAAAUCCUGUAGUUGGACUUAUUUACAAUGGUUGCCACUGGAUUUUAAUGUUUGUUUUUGAUAAUUAAAAAGAAAAUCUUCGAAUUAAAUAUUUGACAUUUAACAAUCUUCCCAAAAUCUCUCCACAUUAACUACACGAUUAUUUACUAAAAUAUUACUUCCAA